rnacentral:rRNA from 1 species
CCUACGGGAGGCAGCAGUAGGGAAUAUUGCUCAAUGGGGGAAACCCUGAAGCAGCAACGCCGCGUGGAGGAUGAAGGUUUUCGGUUUGUAAAGUCCUUUUGUUAGAGAAGAAAAUGACGGUACCUAACGAAUAAGCACCGGCUAACUACGUGCCAGCAGCCGCGGUAAUACGGAGGGUGCAAGCGUUAUCCGGAGUCACUGGGCGUAAAGAGCGCGUAGGCGGGAUAGCAAGUCAGAUGUGAAAUCCUAUGGCUUAACCAUAGAACUGCAUUGGAAACUGUUAUUCUAGAGUAUUGGAGAGGUAGGUGGAAUUCUUGGUGUAGGGGUAAAAUCCGUAGAGAUCAAGAGGAAUACUCAUUGCGAAGGCGACCUGCUAGAACAUAACUGACGCUGAUGCGCGAAAGCGUGGGGAGCAAACAGGAUUAGAUACCCUUGUAGUC